AAAUAGUUUGAUUCUUGCUAAGAGAAUUUCUGCACUAUAGUUAUAAGUUACAUGCAAACCCUGAUAAGAAUAAAUUUAUAGAUAGUUUAAAACUAUUUAAAUAAAAUAUAUAAAUAUAAUUUUUAAUAUACUAGAGUCGCAGUAUAAAAAGCUGCUUAUUCUAAGCUAAAGCUUGAGGCGGUUGCUAUAAUAAAUCUGAUAAAACUUUGUGCCAGCAGUCGCGGUUAGACUUGGAGAUUAAGUAGAAAUAUUUUAGUUUAAGUUAUUUGAAUUUAGAAAUCUGUUAUAGUUUGUAAAAAUAAAAAGUGAAAUUAAUAUAUUAAUGGAUAAAUUAAAACAGGGGUUUAAUAUAAAAGAAGCUAAAAACGUUAGGGGGUAAACUAGGAUUAGAUACCCUAUUAUACUUGACAUAAAGUAGACAAUACUUGAAUAUUAAUAGUUAUAUUCUUUAAAUUCAAAGAAUUUGGCGGUGCUUUAGUCUAGUUAGAGGAACCUGUUAUAUAAACGAUACAACACGCAAUAUCUUACUAAUCUUAGUUUAACAGCCUGUAUACCGUCAUUAUUAGAUAAUUUUUACAGAAAAAAAUUAUUGAAACAGAAGAGUCAAGUAUAUUAGAUCAAGGUGCAGCUUAUAGAUUAGAAAUAAUGGGUUACAAUAAGAUUUACUUAAAUGGAUUAGAUACGUAAGAUAUCUAUGAAAGCGGAUUUAAUUGUAAUAAAAGUUUAAUAAGCUUUUAUGAUAAAAGAACUAAAUUAUGUACAUAUCGCCCGUCGCUUCCAUUCAAGAUGGAAUAAGUCGUAACAAAGUAGGUGUACUGGAAAGUGUACCUAGAAGUUU
rnacentral:ncRNA from 1 species